CGGUUGAUCCUGCCGACGAAUUUUGCUUAGACCAAAGAUUAACACAUGCAUGUCUAUAUAACCCGCUUGUCGGGGAAAUGGCGAACGGCUCAUUAAAGAGGUUCUAACCUGCUCCGCGAUCUUUUAAAUGGAUAACUCUGGUAACUCAAGAGCUAAUACACGCACCAAUGCUUAUUAAGCAGUGCUUAUGACUCUAAACCAACAUCCUUUUGAUUGAACAUAAUGCACAGAGGCCGCAAGGCCCGCGCGGAAUGGAGUUCCUAUCUAUCAGCUCGUUGUAAGGGUAUUGUCCUUACAAGGCUUUGACGGAUAACGAGGUUUCGGGGAACGACUUCGGAGAGAAGGCAUGAGAUUCGGCCUUCAUAUCUAAGGAAAGCAGCAGUGGCGUAAAUUACCCAAUGUACAUUUGUACGAGGUAGUGACAGUCAAUAUUGUAAGCCUCACCUUUGUGGUGCGGCUUAUUUGAAAUGGACGGGGUUUAAAUCACCCCGUGAGGAUCAAUUGGAGGGCAAGUCUGGUGCCAGCAGCCGCGGUAAUUCCAGCUCCAAGAGCAAAAUUUGAUUCUGCUGAAGUUAAAAAGCUCGUAGUUGAAAUUUAAUUCCCCAGUCGUCCUGCGAGGUCGAAAGACCACACGUUUCGACUGGAGAAUUUUUGCAUGGGACUGUUUGCGUUUUAAUUAACGCUCUCAUGAUCAUGCCUGUUACUGUGAGGAAAUCCGAACGCUCAAAGCAGCCUAUUGGUUGAAGAGGUCAGCACGGAAUGAUGAGAUACGACAUGAUUUAUUUUGUUGGUUCUUAAGUUGUGUAAUGAUUGCAGGAACAGUUGGGGGUAUUCAUAUUGGAGAGCUAGAGGUGAAAUUCUAGGAUUUCUUCAAGAUGAACGACUGCGAAAGCAUUUACCAAGGAUGUUUUCAAUAAUCAAGAACGAAAGUUGGGGGAUCGAAGAUGAUUAGAUACCAUCGUAGUCUCAACCAUAAACGAUGCCGACUAGCAAUUGUCAAGCCUUUUUUUGGUUUGGCAGCGGCUCAGAGAAAUUAAAGUUUUUGGGUUCUUGGGGGAGUAUGGUCGCAAGACUGAAACUUAAAGGAAUUGACGGAAGGGCACACCAGAAGUGGAACUUGCGGCUUAAUUUGACCCAACACGGGAAAACUUACCAGGGCCGGACUUUUAUAGGAUUGACAGAUUGAAAGCUCUUUCAUGAUCAAAAGGGUGGUGGUGCAUGGCCGUUCGUAGUUGGUGGAGUGAUUUGUCUGGUUAAUUCCGUUAACGAACGAGACCGACGUCGCAUAAUGGGUUUUGCUAUUUCACGAUAGCGUUAAACCUUCUUUGCGAGACAAGUUUGUUUUACAAGCGGAAGCAGUCGGCAAUAACAGGUCUGUGAUGCCCUUAGAUGUUCUGGGCCGCACGCGAGUUACAUUGAAAGCAUCAAUUGGUCUUGCUUGGCCGAAAGGUCAUGGCGAAUCCUAAAUCGCUUUCGUAUUGGGGCUUGAUUUUUGCAAUUAUGAAUCACCAACGAGGAAUUUCUUGUAAAGGCAGUUCAUCAGACUGUCUUGACUACGUCCCUGCCCUUUGUACACACCGCCCGUCGCACC
rnacentral:rRNA from 1 species